UACGUAGGUGGCAAGCGUUGUCCGGAAUUAUUGGGCGUAAAGAGCUCGUAGGCGGCUCAGUAAGUCAGGUGUGAAAACUCCAGGCUCAACCUGGAGACGCCACCUGAUACUGCUGUGGCUAGAGUCCGGUAGGGGAGCAUGGAAUUCCUGGUGUAGCGGUGAAAUGCGCAGAUAUCAGGAGGAACACCAGUGGCGAAGGCGGUGCUCUGGGCCGGAACUGACGCUGAGGAGCGAAAGCGUGGGGAGCAAACAGG
rnacentral:rRNA from 1 species